rnacentral:lncRNA from 1 species
UUUUAUGUGCCUAGUCAAACUACCCGUGCCGCUACGGUCUCCAGUAAAUUUAUGAACCAGUAGUUUCCCACAAGUUUUACACUUUGCCUUAUUUAGUUCUCUUACUUGAGUAAAACAAUUCCAAACUAAUGAUGUUUCUGGACGUUUAGCAGGUUGUCUACUAAAAGUUGGAGUUUCUACCGGUGAUAAAAUACAACACUACUCAUGAUCGCCAUAAUAUAGGGAACCGACACACCUUUUGUCUCCGAGCAUCUCCAGAGAACUUCUCUAGGAACCUUGUCAUAUGUUUUCUCUAGGUGAAUAAAAUUGAUCAUGGAAUACAAAAGCAAUAUGAUGGGGAGUCAUUGCACAAACCAGUCAAGCAAUGACACAAAGAAGUUCACUUUGGAUCGAGGACAUCCCACUGCGGUUACAUACUGAACUUAGAACGAAGAAAUGAGUAGCUGCUGAGAGGAUACCAAUACCUCAAUCUUACUUUCAGACAAGAGUAAGGUAUAAUAUCCAAAAAGAAAAAUACAGGCUAAAACAGAACCAUCCUCUUCAAGUUAAUUGAUGAUAUAUUUGAAUUCCAUGAAUAUAACUCCUUGCUAUUUCAUCACUUUAUCAAAGUAGACCACAUCAAUUGUAAACGUUAAAUGAACAUUAUGAUACUAGUCUCCCAUUAAUAUUUAUCCAGUUCUGAGGGUGUCAUCAAUUUAAGUUGCUCCACCAAAACUAAAAGCCCUACUCAAAUGUAGCUGAAUGAAAUAUAUACACAACUAGAAUUCCAAGCAGGAUAAAGUUAUGCAUUGAACGAUCUCUGGAUCUAAUCUUUUACAUGAUCAGCAAAAGCCAUUCCCUAUAAAAUUGAACUUACUGCUGCAGGGCUUCCAGUUGCCUAGGGGCUAGAAUUACGGACAAAACUCCAGCAAUGUUUCAAAUGAAACUCAUAGAGAAAAAGAUAAGAAUUC